rnacentral:rRNA from 1 species
ACGAACGCUGGCGGCGUGCUUAACACCUGCAAGUCGAACGGAAAGGCCCUGCUUUUGUGGGGUGCUCGAGUGGCGAACGGGUGAGUAACACGUGAGUAACCUGCCCUUGACUUUGGGAUAACUUCAGGAAACUGGGGCUAAUACCGGAUAGGAGCUCCUGCUGCAUGGUGGGGGUUGGAAAGUUUCGGCGGUUGGGGAUGGACUCGCGGCUUAUCAGCUUGCUGGUGGGGUAGUGGCUUACCAAGGCUUUGACGGGUAGCCGGCCUGAGAGGGUGACCGGCCACAUUGGGACUGAGAUACGGCCCAGACUCCUACGGGAGGCAGCAGUGGGGAAUAUUGCACAAUGGGCGGAAGCCUGAUGCAGCAACGCCGCGUGCGGGAUGACGGCCUUCGGGUUGUAAACCGCUUUCGCCUGUGACGAAGCGUGAGUGACGGUAAUGGGUAAAGAAGCACCGGCUAACUACGUG